rnacentral:rRNA from 1 species
GACGAACGCUGGCGGCGUGCUUAACACGUGCAAGUCGAACGGAAAGGCCCUGCUUUUGUGGGGUGCUCGAGUGGCGAACGGGUGAGUAACACGUGAGUAACCUGCCCUUGACUUUGGGAUAACUUCAGGAAACUGGGGCUAAUACCGGAUAGGAGCUCCUGCUGCAUGGUGGGGGUUGGAAAGUUUCGGCGGUUGGGGAUGGACUCGCGGCUUAUCAGCUUGUUGGUGGGGUAGUGGCUUACCAAGGCUUUGACGGGUAGCCGGCCUGAGAGGGUGACCGGCCACAUUGGGACUGAGAUACGGCCCAGACUCCUACGGGAGGCAGCAGUGAGGAAUAUUGCACAAUGGGCGGAAGCCUGAUGCAGCAACGCCGCGUGCGGGAUGACGGCCUUCGGGUUGUAAACCGCUUUCGCCUGUGACGAAGCGUGAGUGACGGUAAUGGGUAAAGAAGCACCGGCUAACUACGUG